CACGUAGGGCGCAAGCGUUGUCCGGAAUUAUUGGGCGUAAAGAGCGUGUAGGCGGCCAGGUAGGUCCGUUGUAAAAACUCGAGGCUCAACCUCGAGACGUCGGCGGAAACCCUCUGGCUAGAGUCCGGAAGAGGAGAGUGGAAUUCCUGGUGUAGCGGUGAAAUGCGCAGAUAUCAGGAAGAACACCCGUGGCGAAGGCGGCUCUCUGGGACGGUACUGACGCUGAGACGCGAAAGCGUGGGGAGCAAACAGG
rnacentral:rRNA from 1 species